rnacentral:rRNA from 1 species
GGACAGUGUCUGGUGGGUAGUUUGACUGGGGCGGUCUCCUCCUAAAGCGUAACGGAGGAGCACGAAGGUUGGCUAAUCCUGGUCGGACAUCAGGAGGUUAGUGCAAUGGCAUAAGCCAGCUUGACUGCGAGCGUGACGGCGCGAGCAGGUGCGAAAGCAGGUCAUAGUGAUCCGGUGGUUCUGAAUGGAAGGGCCAUCGCUCAACGGAUAAAAGGUACUCCGGGGAUAACAGGCUGAUACCGCCCAAGAGUUCAUAUCGACGGCGGUGUUUGGCACCUCGAUGUCGGCUCAUCACAUCCUGGGGCUGAAGUAGGUCCCAAGGGUAUGGCUGUUCGCCAUUUAAAGUGGUACGCGAGCUGGGUUUAGAACGUCGUGAGACAGUUCGGUCCCUAUCUGCCGUGGGCGCUGGAGAACUGAGGGGGGCUGCUCCUAGUACGAGAGGACCGGAGUGGACGCAUCACUGGUGUUCGGGUUGUCAUGCCAAUGGCACUGCCCGGUAGCUAAAUGCGGAAGAGAUAAGUGCUGAAAGCAUCUAAGCACGAAACUUGCCCCGAGAUGAGUUCUCCCUGAGACUACGAGUCUCCUGAAGGAACGUU